CUCUCCCCUAGUACUAGAGGCCAUGAACGCUUGGUAAGACUUCACAAUGAACUUUUUUCGGGCACACAUAAAAAUCUAGACCAUAUUCAGUAAUAUCGGCUUAAACCUCACUCUACCCUUAAAAUUUGUACCGUUGAGAGAACGUGUCCCAAAUCACUCACAUGAGAGAAGGAUCUUGUUCAAUUUGCUUUUAAAAUUGUCUCAACAGCAACGUUCUUUUACUUCAUCCAUCCCAGUAAAAGAAUUCGCCAAGAAAUCGUGAGAAGUCCAUCACUGACUUGGCCUCUGCAAAGUGCACAGUCGCUUCAACCCUGCUUCAUCAUAAACUUUGGAGGUUACCAAUAACCAUGGCGACUGAAGUAGAAGAGCUGGUGGGGUUCUUGUCGUCUCCUUCACCGCAGGUGAAAAAGGCAGCUGUGGAUAUUGUACAAGGACUGACUGGUUCUGAAGAGGGACUUAAGAGUCUGGCUAAUUAUUCCGAUACUCUAUUGGCUUCACUUUUGAAUCUUCUAGGCGAUAAAAAGGAGUUUGUUCAACCUGUAUUAGAGGCACUAAUCAAUCUGUCACAAGAGACUGCUUUAGCAGGAAAAAUGGUUGACAUUGGGAUAAUAGAAAGGGAAAUGGAGAUUUUGGGAAAAGUAGAUCCGAGCAUAAUUCAAUUGUUGUCCAUGCUACUUGUGAAUCUCACACAUUUAGAUUCAGGCGUGGAACGUCUCCUUCAGACAGGAACUGAAAAAUUGCAAGGUCUUUAUAUUGCCAAGCUUGUGAGAUUGUUUAGCACAUCUUCAAGUGAAAAUGAAGGAGUAGAGGAUCCAUAUGGACACAUUGGAUCUAUCCUUAUGAACAUAUCUCGGAUGGAAACAGGGAGAAAGCUCUUAUUAGAUCCUAAGUGGAGUCUUUUGAAACAAUUACUUCGACAAAUUGAUUCACCAAGUACUUUGAGAAGGAAGGGAGUUUCAGGCACUCUUAGGAACUGUUGCUUUGAAUCUGAAACCCAGCUAGCCAAUUUACUUUUAUUAUCUCAAUUUCUAUGGCCUGCCCUGCUUUUGCCUCUUGCAGGAAAACAGGAAUAUAGUAAAGAGGACACAAACAAAAUGCCUCUUGAGCUAGCUAAUCCACUUUCUCAUGAGCGUGAGCCAGAGAAUGACCCAGAAAUUCGUGUGCAGGCAGCAGAAGCACUCUACCUUAUUGCUGUGCAUGAGGGAGGACGUAAAGCUCUUUGGUCGGUCAAUGGUCCAAGGAUAUUAGAAAUUGGUUAUCAAUAUGAGGAAGAUCCAAAAGUGAUGGAAGCAUAUGAACGACUUGGCUCUUUGCUUGUUCAGUCUAAUGGAGUAGAAGAUGCGAAAUGAAUAGGAAUGUACAAUGGGAUUGACAAUGGUCUUUGGUUGAGUGGAAUGGUAUCUUCCAGUAGAAACUAUUUUAUCAGGGGCAAAACGUCAUGGACAGCUGAACAUUGCAUAAGAGCAUGAGUACUCACCAUAAUUCAACCACUUAUGCUCUACUGAAAUAGAAGUAUGAUUGAAGAUCAAGUGACCAUCAAUUGCAUGUUUCAUUGUUAUUAAGGCUUCACAUCAUGUCGGGCAACAUGAGCAGAACUAAAGGGGUUUGGUAGAGGAAAGCAGCCCUCACAUUCACCACAUCAGCAUGCAACUCAUCUUGAGGUUUAUCCUACAGUGCUACUACUGCAUCCUUAAAAUCAUGAUAUUUCUUUACUAUAAUUAAGUUUUAAGUGAAA